rnacentral:rRNA from 1 species
UGGGCGUAAAGCGUGCGUAGGCGGUUGUUUAAGUCAGAUGUGAAAGCCCCGGGCUUAACCUGGGAACUGCAUUUGAUACUGGGCAACUAGAGUUGAGUAGAGGGGAGUGGAAUUUCAGGUGUAGCGGUGAAAUGCGUAGAGAUCUGAAGGAACACCAGUGGCGAAGGCGGCUCCCUGGACUCAAACUGACGCUGAGGUACGAAAGCGUGGGUAGCAAACAGGAUUAGAUACCCUGGUAGUCCACGCCGUAAACGAUGUCAACUAACUGUUGGGUUCUUUAAGAACUUAGUAGUGGAGCUAACGUAUUAAGUUGACCGCCUGGGGAGUACGGCCGCAAGGCUAAAACUCAAAUGAAUUGACGGGGGCCCGCACAAGCGGUGGAGCAUGUGGUUUAAUUCGAUGCAACGCGAAGAACCUUACCUACCCUUGACAUCCUCGGAACUUGUCAGAGAUGACUUGGUGCCUUCGGGAACCGAGAGACAGGUGCUGCAUGGCUGUCGUCAGCUCGUGUUGUGAAAUGUUGGGUUAAGUCCCGUAACGAGCGCAACCCUUAUCCUUAGUUGCCAGCGGUUCGGCCGGGCACUCUAGGAAGACUGCCGGUGACAAACCGGAGGAAGGUGGGGAUGACGUCAAGUCCUCAUGGCCUUUAUGUCCAGGGCUACACACGUGCUACAAUGGCGCGUACAGAGGGAAGCGAGACCGCGAGGUGGAGCAGACCCCAGAAAGCGCGCCGUAGUUCGGAUUGCAGUCUGCAACUCGACUGCAUGAAGUCGGAAUC